UUUGUCUUUGAUGAGGAGAGAGAGACAAGAUGGCAGAAGCCAAUAUGAAGCAGUUGACCCCAGACUUGUGUGUGUCUUAAGGAAUUUGAUGAUUGUACCUCUGGAGAAGCAACAAUUCCUGAAUUCCGUAUUGCUCAGCCAGGGACCAUCAAAUGCCUACCCAGGCACUCUCACCAAGCCCAACCUAUUUUUCAUCUGUUGCCCAUCUGAAGGGGUCGUGGCACCAGAUGCUAGCAAUCGCAGAAGAUGAUGAGCGUACCCAUUAGAGAACGCUUACAGCUGAAGAAGCUUUGCGCGGUAACCUGUGCCCUGCAUCCAAUACCUUGACUAGAACUGCAGUGCAGGGGGCAGCUUUCUUCAUUUAACAAAAAGGAUGGGGGUAGCGGAGACCUAUCGGGUGCAGUGACCUUUUCAACGAAGGCAGACUGUGUGCCAACAUUGAAACAAUUAUCGCAAGAGCCCGUGGGCACCGACUUCCUGUUGAUAACAUGUGGAGCUAAUUACCUUGAAGAAUUGGUGGCAGAUGCCGGUGCCUGCAAUUAAUUGGCCCUCAGGAAGGUCACGCUUGGCUCGGGACCAGGAGUGAAGGCACCAGUCUCCACCAGAGCCAAGCCUCUGGGCAGUCCUACUUUCUCAUAUCCUCCCACCACUGUGGAAGCUGCUUCCGUGUCCCUCCGCCAGUGCUCUACUGCAGUCUUUCAACCUUUCCAGCGAACCCAAGACGGGAUUGG